UACGAAGGGGGCUAGCGUUGUUCGGAAUUACUGGGCGUAAAGCGCACGUAGGCGGGUCGUUAAGUCAGGGGUGAAAUCCCAGAGCUCAACUCUGGAACUGCCUUUGAUACUGGCGACCUAGAGUUCGGAAGAGGUUAGUGGAAUUCCCAGUGUAGAGGUGAAAUUCGUAGAUAUUGGGAAGAACACCAGUGGCGAAGGCGGCUAACUGGUCCGAUACUGACGCUGAGGUGCGAAAGCGUGGGGAGCAAACAGG
rnacentral:rRNA from 1 species